CGCCCGGUACCCAGAGGAGCUGCCUGAGCUUCCCCUCGCCCAGUAUCCUGAGGAGCAGCCCGGCUUACCCAGCGCUCAGUACCCUGAGGAGCCCAUGGUGUGGGACACUGCGGAAGACGCUGGGGAUACACAGCCAGAGACAUGAUGAGGGCCACUUUCUGGAUGCUCUGAUUUCCCUACCUGUGCAGAACUUCUAUUUCAGAUCAGAGACAGUUUGAUGCAGAGAGGAGAAGUGAAGAUGUGUUUUACAGAUGAGAGAGCGGAAUGUUUCUGAGAGAGGAAGAAUUAGAGCUGAGCUCUUCUACAUUGUGGUGCCAGAGUUUGGGACACUGCAGAGAGCUGGCUGUGACAAAGACUCUUCUCUGCACCCUGUCCACAUCUUUUGUGAAUUGUGGAGACCAGAAGUGGACACAGUAUUACAGCAGUGGUUGUACCAGAACCAUGUACAGAGAUAAAAUAACCUCUUUAUUCCUACUUGAGAUUCAUGCAUCCAAGGAUUGAAUUUGUCCUUUUGGCCACAGCAUCACACUGGGAGCUCAUGUUCAGUUUACUGUCAACCACAACCCCCAAAUAUUUUUUUCAGAAACACUUCUUAGGA